rnacentral:rRNA from 1 species
UAGGGAAUCUUCGGCAAUGGGGGCAACCCUGACCGAGCAACGCCGCGUGAGUGAAGAAGGUUUUCGGAUCGUAAAGCUCUGUUGUAAGAGAAGAACGUGUGUGAGAGUGGAAAGUUCACACAGUGACGGUAACUUACCAGAACGGGACGGCUAACUACGUGCCAGCAGCCGCGGUAAUACGUAGGUCCCGAGCGUUGUCCGGAUUUAUUGGGCGUAAAGCGAGCGCAGGCGGUUUAAUAAGUCUGAAGUUAAAGGCAGUGGCUUAACCAUUGUUCGCUUUGGAAACCGUUAAACUUGAGUGCAGAAGGGGAGAGUGGAAUUCCAUGUGUAGCGGUGAAAUGCGUAGAUAUAUGGAGGAACACCGGUGGCGAAAGCGGCUCUCUGGUCUGUAACUGACGCUGAGGCUCGAAAGCGUGGGGAGCAAACAGG